AGAGUUUGAUCCUGGCUCAGAACGAACGCUGGCGGCAGGCUUAACACAUGCAAGUUGAACGGGAUUGUUAAGUAGCUUGCUAUUUAACAAGAGAGUAGCGCACUGGUGAGUAACACGUGGGAACGUACCUUUUGGUGGGGGACAACAUCUGGAAACGGAUGCUAAUACCGCAUAAGACCUGAGGGUGAAAGAUUUAUCGCCGAAAGAACGGCCCGCGGAAGAUUAGGCAGUUGGUGGGGUAAAGGCCUACCAAACCUACGAUCUAUAGCUGGUCUGAGAGGACGAUCAGCCACACUGGAACUGAGACACGGUCCAGACUCCUACGGGAGGCAGCAGUGAGGAAUAUUGGGCAAUGGAGGCAACUCUGACCCAGCCAUGCCGCGUGAGUGAAGAAGGUUUUCGGAUUGUAAAGCUCUUUCGGAUGUGACGAUGAUGACGGUAGCAUCUAAAGAAGCCCCGGCUAACUUCGUGCCAGCAGCCGCGGUAAUACGAAGGGGGCGAGCGUUGUUCGGAAUUACUGGGCGUAAAGGGUGUGUAGGCGGUUAUGUAAGAUAGCGGUGAAAUCCCGGGGCUUAACCUCGGAAUAGCCGUUAUAACUAUGUAGCUAGAGUUAUGGAGAGGAUAGCGGAAUACCCAGUGUAGAGGUGAAAUUCGUAGAUAUUGGGUAGAACACCGGUGGCGAAGGCGGCUAUCUGGCCAUAUACUGACGCUGAGGCACGAAAGCAUGGGGAUCAAACAGGAUUAGAUACCCUGGUAGUCCAUGCUGUAAACGAUGAAUGCUGGUUGUCGGCUUUAGGGUCGGUGACGAAGUUAACGCGAUAAGCAUUCCGCCUGGGGAGUACGGUCGCAAGAUUAAAACUCAAAGGAAUUGACGGGGACCCGCACAAGCGGUGGAGCAUGUGGUUUAAUUCGAAGCAACGCGAAGAACCUUACCAAGUCUUGACAUCCUUCUGACCGGUACUUAAUCGUACCUUCUCUUCGGAGCAGGAGUGACAGGUGGUGCAUGGUUGUCGUCAGCUCGUGUCGUGAGAUGUUGGGUUAAGUCC
rnacentral:rRNA from 1 species